rnacentral:rRNA from 1 species
UGGGGAAUUUUGGACAAUGGGCGAAAGCCUGAUCCAGCCAUGCCGCGUGAGUGAGGAAGGCCUUCGGGUUGUAAAGCUCUUUUAGUCGGAAAGAAAGAGUUGCAAUGAAUAAUUGUGAUUUAUGACGGUACCGACAGAAAAAGCACCGGCUAACUACGUGCCAGCAGCCGCGGUAAUACGUAGGGUGCGAGCGUUAAUCGGAAUUACUGGGCGUAAAGGGUGCGCAGGCGGUCUUGCAAGUCAGAUGUGAAAGCCCCGGGCUUAACCUGGGAAUUGCGUUUGAAACUACAAGACUAGAGUGCAGCAGAGGGGAGUGGAAUUCCAUGUGUAGCAGUGAAAUGCGUAGAGAUGUGGAAGAACACCGAUGGCGAAGGCAGCUCCCUGGGUUGACACUGACGCUCAUGCACGAAAGCGUGGGGAGCAAACA